rnacentral:rRNA from 1 species
AAUCAACGCUGGCGGCGCGCCUAACACAUGCAAGUCGCGCGCGAAAGGGGGGCAACCCCCAAGUAGAGCGGCGAACGGGUGAGUAACACGUGGGUGAUCUUCCUUCGAGUGGGGAAUAACACCGGGAAACUGGUGCUAAUACCGCAUACGUCCUACGGGAGAAAGCAGGGGAUCUUCGGACCUUGCGCUAAUAGAUGAGCCUAAGUCGGAUUAGCUAGUUGGUGGGGUAAAGGCCUACCAAGGCGACGAUCUGUAGCGGGUCUGAGAGGAUGAUCCGCCACACUGGGACUGAGACACGGCCCAGACUCCUACGGGAGGCAGCAGUGGGGAAUAUUGGACAAUGGGCGGAAGCCUGAUCCAGCCAUGCCGCGUGUGUGAAGAAGGCCUUAUGGUUGUAAAGCACUUUAAGCGAGGAGGAGGCUACUCUAGUUAAUACCUAGAGAUAGUGGACGUUACUCGCAGAAUAAGCACCGGCUAACUCUGUGCCAGCCGCCGCGGUAAGAC